UGUAUUUGUUUGUGUUUUUAAAAUUGUAUUUUUAUGUUUCCAGUCUUAUUUUUAAUAUUUCUAAAGUACGGAAAAUAUCAAACGAAGAGAUAACCAAGUUAAAGAAAAACAAUGAAGAAUUCCUAAUCAUACCGAUAGUAUUAAAGAAUGAAGUCUUCAAAAUUAACAGAAUAACCGAACUCCACUACCUACCCCAUAAUGCGAGGUUUACAGUAAUUAUUCAACUUACAUGAAGCAGUCAGAAAGUUUAUUGAGAUUUGAGAAAUAAAGUUACACUUAUAAGUAGCAAAACAGUGGAUGAAGAAGUGUGGGAUUAUGAGUGAUUAUUUCAUUCUAAAGCAGACAUAAUCAAGUCUUGCUCACUAUCAUGAAAAUUUACAAUAACAAUCAGCAAGAAAAACUUCAAGGGUACUGGCUAGGCUAACCAAUUCAUGGAAUUCUGUUUGUAUUUGAAAUUAUAAAUAGCUAUUGUAAAACAAAAGUUUUCCAAAUAAAGAUUUUGUAAAUAAUGGUUGAAUUAUUUUGAAAUUACACUGCAAUAAUGAAUUUAUUGCCUGCGUCCAGCGCCUUUCUGCUACCAUUAUGAUAUCGUCGGUCCACCUUGUGGGUGGACGUCCCACGCUGCGUAUUCCGGUACCCGGCCUCCACCCCAGAACCUUGCUGCCCCAUCGGGCAACAUGGAAAGCAUUGGGGGAGGCCUAAGUUCAGCAGUGGACGUCCUAUGGCUGAGAUGAUGAUGAAUUUAUUAUAAUGGAAUAAAUUGUACAAGAUUAUCAUCCUGUCACAUUAAAGCCCUUAAAAAAGACCACAUGGAGGAAUUAGAUUGAUAGUAAUGUGGAAUGUAUGAAUGGUAUCACCAUCAAGUUAUAAAAUUAGUAAAAUUCAUUUAUUCUCAUUGUUAUUAUAGCAAGUUUGAUUACACAUCCCACCCAAUGCUAAUUUCUGACAAUGACCUUGCCACUGUUUGAUGUAGACACAAGAAGCUCGGUCACCACAUUCCGCCCCAUUUUCAAUAAUUUUACAAGAUUAUGUACAGAUGACAGUAGGUCCUUAAAUCAAGCUAAACACUGUGGGGUAUCUCACGACAUUUGCAACUUAAUAUGUAUUGUCUGAUGUACUGUUGACUGCCUACCUAAGUAGGUAAGUAAUGGUUAUUUUACAAGGUAGGUAAUGUAAUAAUUAAUAUGGUGGGUGGGACUGUGGGAGCACUAAGAUUUUGCAGCUAGCGAUUAUAAACUGUCGCAAGAUUCGCCUCACACUGAUAAACUCUUGAACUAGAACUCAAUCUCCACCUAGAAGUAAAAGUAUCACAAAGGUGCUAGAUUCCUUUCUUUGAAUUUUACUAGCCUCAAAUUAGUCGUAAAAUGUCAUUUACCAUUAUAAAUGAUAAAUAAAUAGAGUUAAAGUAGCUUGCAAAAAAGUUAAUCUCCUAUCGUCUUGCUAUCGUGGGCAAGGAUCGAGGACGAUAAAAACACCACAUCCUAUCCUAUCGUGAUGUCAAAAUAUGAUAUAGUUAGCGCUUCAUGUUAGGGCUUGCCAGGUUUAUCACAAAAAAAAAAAACAAAUCUAUCACUAUCACAUUUUGACAGAUGACAUGAUAAUUUUCGGGGUGCCAUGUUAGCGCCGGUAGAUAAAACGAUAUAGUGACGUCAAAAUCGAUAUAACGCCGCGAUAGCAGUUUAUCACGGCGCGCAUCUUAGCCCUGCUGGCCUGUUCAUCUCCGCGAGUUUACAUCGAAAACAAAACACGCACGAUUGCCCCCUACAAGAGUACUAUUCGACAAGGCCUCACAUACGAGCGAACAUUGACUCACGCACGCGUAUUCUUGUGUAUGAUGGAAGAAAAUAAAGAAAAUGGUGUACUAAAUACUGUGCAGUAUUUAACUGCCUAAAUAAUAAUAAAAACACAGAAUGUACUUUUUUAAGUUGCCUGAAGACACUGAGAGGUAAAUAAGUAGUUAAUAUUAUUCAUGAUAAUUCAUGCUAAAUCAUGAAAUUUCCUCCGCCAUUUUCUGCAGAUUGGCACCUCACGUCACAUCAUUUUACCGAAGUCAGCCCUAUAGCUUCGGCGCAGUGCCGAUCACUGACGUUUGUCAACAAAACUUCUGACAAACUUGCUUGACUCUUGAGACAAGCUAAAUUACACCAUAUUGUUAAUGACAUUGAGCAUACAUUUUUUUAAAUACCUUCGCGAAGUUAAACUUCUGUACGUAGUACUUAU